rnacentral:lncRNA from 1 species
CGCGGAUUAAAAUCGAACCAAACCGCAAAUUAUGGUUUGGUUUUGUUUAGUUCGAAAAAUAAAAUAGUUUGGUUUGGUUUGAAAAAAUUUCAAAAAGCGUAAAAUGGUUUGAAUUGAAAAUAUAACACAAAUCGCCCAAAUCAAACCGCGUUCACCCUACGGUGCGGUGGUCUACUUCCCUCCUAGGCGAAAGUUUCUUUGAUAACUCCGUAGGCAUAAUGUCCUUAUUUUCCUUGAGGACUUUUGCAAUAGCUGCCAGCAAGACAUCAUCAUUACUAGAGGCUUUGGCCACAACAGACAAUCGAGCAAUAAAUGUCGGCUCACCCUUCUUCCAUCUUUUCGCUCAUUGCAUAGUCAAAAGUUGUCCCGCUUGCGUUCCCAUGAAAAUGGUAGGAAUCAUGCAUGACGAUCCCUUCUCCAAAAUGCACAUAGAACCAAAGGAAGGUAUAGGAAUUACAUUAACCUUCCUCAAGAAAUCCAAGCCCAACACUAGCUUGAAAUCAUCCAUCGAUGCAAUGAAAAUAUCAACGGGUCCAUGCCACGAACCCAACCAUAGUUCAGCCUCUCAAACUACACCAGCUAAUGACCUUGCAGUUGCAUUCACCGUCUUCAACAAUCCACCUCCAUGGUGAACGUUCAAUCCUCACCACUGCGCUUCGUGUUGAAGGUGUGUGUGGCUCCGGUAUCAACUAAUGCCCGUGUUUACCGUCCAUUGAUUUCGUCCAUACAUAUCUUCUUCCAUCCAAUGCCUUGUCAAUGUUGUAAUUCUACACAUCUUCAUCAGCUCCCAUCAGUUCUCUAAGUAUCAACACUCACUAAAUUCUUAAACUCCUUGAAUUCUAGUUCGCACAACAC